rnacentral:rRNA from 1 species
UGUUUCGGCUAGGGGGCCAUCCCGGCUUACCAACCCGAUGCAAACUGCGAAUACCGGAGAAUGUUAUCACGGGAGACACACGGCGGGUGCUAACGUCCGUCGUGAAGAGGGAAACAACCCAGACCGCCAGCUAAGGUCCCAAAGUCAUGGUUAAGUGGGAAACGAUGUGGGAAGGCCCAGACAGCCAGGAUGUUGGCUUAGAAGCAGCCAUCAUUUAAAGAAAGCGUAAUAGCUCACUGGUCGAGUCGGCCUGCGCGGAAGAUGUAACGGGGCUAAACCAUGCACCGAAGCUGCGGCAGCGAACGUAUCACUUAAAGCGAUUCAGCGGGUUACGAUUGACGGAGCGAAGCGACGUCAAAGCGUAUACAAAGUCGAGUCGGUUUAAGGAUACGUUCGUUGGGUAGGGGAGCGUUCUGUAAGCCUGUGAAGGUGUGUCGUGAGGCAUGCUGGAGGUAUCAG